CAUAGGUUGCCGACCCCUGGUCUAUGGAAAAUAAUGAUCUGGGAGAACCAGUGCACUCCAAUUGUGUGAUCCUGUUUUCUUACUAUAUUUGACAAAUUCACUAAUUAAUCAGUGAGAAGGACGUAUCUAAGUAUAGAACUCCUUUUUCUCUUAUUGUUUGACUUGCACAGAUUCUGGCAAUAUCUUCUUCAAAAUUCCCAAACCUGUUUUUCCUAGAAUUGUCUGAAUUUAAAAAGUGUUCUUCGGGAUUAGUGGGUGAAUGUAAAUGUUCCAAAGGCCAUUUUGCUGAACCCAGACUUAAAGUUUGUUAGACAGGUGAAGAGUUCUGAGUAUCUAUUUGAUUUCUAUUUUGUACUGGAGAAAGAUUUAGUUGUUUUAAAACAUUAUUCUUUGGUAGCAGGUAAGUAAUCUAAAAGAGUCUUCAGUAUACUACGUAUAUUACACACAGUAGAGUUUUAUGAAACUAAGCUCUGGACAGCAGAAACACUUGAUAUUUUUGUCACAAAAAUUAUACAUUUGAGUAGAAAAAAGUCUAUCACAGUAAAUAGGGAUUACCCAGUACUAAGAAUAAAUCAUUUUAACAGUUGAAAAUUUUUGUUAAGCGAGGGAGGAAAAAAUAAAGCACAGUAAUAUGCUUUAUAUAUGUCUGAAUUUUAAUUUUAAAGAGACAUUCUCCUUUUUAGUAAUCGUACUGUAAAAAAAAAUUACUUACCUUACAAAUAAAUAAAUACAACUUAAAAAUGCAUGCUACUUUUCACUAUAUAUGCCACUUACUUCUGGGUAUUAGUGCUACAGUAUUUAUUUGCAACUACUACAAGGAGUGCUUACUCUUACUUCCACUGGAAUUACUUUUUCUUGUAAAUAAUUUUGUUAAAUUUUUAUAAAAGCACCAAACCUAAACUUUAAGCUAGGUUUGAGUUGUCCCUUUAAUUUCUGGUUUUGUUAAAAGUGAAGUUUUUCCACACUUAAAAUGAAUGUAUUUGUUUGUGACUUGUUACAUUUUUCCUUAUAGUGGAGUUCUUGUGGAGUCAUACAACAGAGAGCAUGUGUGUAGGAUAUAUGUCAGCACAGGAUGGCAAAGCCAAGACUCACAUUUCGAGACUUCCUCCUGGAGCUGUGGCAGGGCAGUCUGUGGCAAUCGAAGGAGGAGUCUGUCGGCUGGAGACCCCAGCAAACUGAACAGCUUACUCCUCAGCUCCAUACAGAGAAUGUGAAUGACGUUUUGUACAAUAAGCUCUUUUGUGUUUUAACAGAUGUUGGGAAUUUUACUCUCAUUUUAUACUCUUUAUUGCAACCACGUGCACCAUAACUUGAGAUAAGUGCUGCUGUUAUUUAUACUCAUUCUGUGUGAAUGGGUGUGUGCAUGCUCAUUUUUCUCCCAAACAAAUCAGAACACUUCCUAGUUGUGCAGGUGAAGAUAGUGUAUGAUUAAUGUUGCAUUUAAAUUUUCAUUGUUUACAGUUUAAAAAAUAAUGCCCUAAAACUAUGGAAAAAAACUAAUUUAAAGAUGUGAUAGUAACUGUCAUUCAUGUUCUAAAUUAGGAAGUAAUGGGCCUCAGAGGUAGUUGUGUAGUAAUGCAAAAGUGAUUGUGGUUUGUACAUUUCUUUUAAGUUUAAGUGGAUCCAGUGGUGACUUAAACACUGCUUCUUCAUCCCCUAUGUGGGGCAUUUUUCUUUGACAAAGAAUGGUUUCAGUGAAACAAUCUAGAGCAGAAUUAUGGCCAGAAUUGUUUUUAAAUAGUCUUAUAAUAUAAGUUGUAUCUCUCUUCCCAAGCUAAGAUGUUACAUAGCUUCAAGCUGUAUGUAUUACAAAAAAGUUAUAUAAAGAUAAUGUACCGUAAUGCAGUCUUUACUUUGUGUAUAAUGGAAUAUUACAAUGUAAAUAAGAAAACAAAGUUUAUGGAAAGAUUCAAUACUAUUCUUUGUUUCUUGUUUAAAUAUAUAUUUUAAGAAAAAGGUACAGAAAUAAAUGAGCAUAUUACUGUAUGCUAAGUAUGUGUAUUAUUGUUGAGAAAACUGAUAGUAGCCCUCUUCUUGAAAAAGUGACUUCCUCAAAGUUCACUUACAGCAUGUGUGUAUGUAUAUUAAUUUGUCUAAUAUGUAUGCAUUAUGCAUAAAUUUACUGUAAUACUUUUUCCCCACAUAUUCUAAAAAGCUACAUAUUCAUAUAACUAUGUAGGCCAUAUCUGCCUUGUAAGUAUAAACAGUUAUCUCUGUACACCAGUUCUGAUAUUUUAGCAAAUCAUUUGAGUUCUGAAGAUGAGUUCUUAAGUUUCAAACAUCCAUUCAGUAUUCUUCUUCCUGUUGACAAUGACGGCACCAUAAGAUUUUUGUAACGACCAACUUUUGUUCAAUGUCUUGCAGAUAGGCCAAAGAGAAACAACGGUAGUUUAUAUCUUUUUUUUUUUUCUGUUCAAAUUUGGAAACAGAAAGUCGAUACUCCAUUUUACCUUUCUCCAGAAGUACAGGAUAAGUAUGUAGUCCAAUAACAUAUAGUUCACCCAACAGUGUACUCACCUCUUUAUUUUGUAUUGUUGUGCCUGCUUAUAACAGAAAUGCCUGCUUCUGAUUAAAUGGUUGCAUUGAUUAUGAUAUCAAUGUUUUAUGGAAAAAAUUCUUAAUAAAUUUAUUUUUAAAAAACUG